rnacentral:rRNA from 1 species
ACGGGGGCAACCCUGGUGGCGAGUGGCGAACGGGGAGUAAUACAUCGGAACGUGUCCUGUAGUGGGGGAUAGCCCGGCGAAAGCCGGAUUAAUACCGCAUACGCUCUACGGAGGAAAGGGGGGGAUCUUAGGACCUCCCGCUACAGGGGCGGCCGAUGGCAGAUUAGCUAGUUGGUGGGGUAAAGGCCUACCAAGGCGACGAUCUGUAGCUGGCCUGAGAGGACGACCAGCCACACUGGGACUGAGACACGGCCCAGACUCCUACGGGAGGCAGCAGUGGGGAAUUUUGGACAAUGGGCGAAAGCCUGAUCCAGCAAUGCCGCGUGUGUGAAGAAGGCCUUCGGGUUGUAAAGCACUUUUGUCCGGAAAGAAAACGUCGUGGUUAAUACCCGUGGCGGAUGACGGUACCGGAAGAAUAAGCACCGGCUAACUACGUGCCAGCAGCCGCGGUAAUACGUAGGGUGCAAGCGUUAAUCGGAAUUACUGGGCGUAAAGCGUGCGCAGGCGGUUCGCUAAGACAGAUGUGAAAUCCCCGGGCUUAACCUGGGAACUGCAUUUGUGACUGGCGGGCUAGAGUAUGGCAGACGGGGGUAGAAUUCCACGUGUAGCAGUGAAAUGCGCAAGAGAUGUGGAGGAAUACCCGAUGGCGAAGGCAGCCCCCUGGGCCAA